rnacentral:rRNA from 1 species
GGCGAACGCUGGCGGCGUGCCUAACACAUGCAAGUCGAGCGGGACUUUAUUAUCGGAGAUUUCGGUUGAAGAUAAUAGAUGAGAGCGGCGGACGGGUGAGUAACGCGUGAGCAAUCUACCCUGUGGAGGGGGAUAGCCUCUGGAAACGGAGAUUAAUACCGCAUAAAACUGCAAUACCGCAUGGUAAUGCAGUCAAAAUUCAGGUGCCACAGGAUGAGCUCGCGUCUCAUUAGCUAGUUGGUAGGGUAAAGGCCUACCAAGGCGACGAUGAGUAGCCGACCUGAGAGGGUGAUCGGCCACACUGGAACUGAGACACGGUCCAGACUCCUACGGGAGGCAGCAGUGGGGAAUAUUGCGCAAUGGGGGAAACCCUGACGCAGCAACGCCGCGUGAGUGAUGAAGGCUUUCGAGUCGUAAAACUCUGUCUUCGGGGACGAAUAAUGACGGUACCCGAGGAGGAAGCCCCGGCUAACUACGUGCCAGCAGCCGCGGUAAUACGUAGGGGGCAAGCGUUGUCCGGAAUCACUGGGCGUAAAGGGCGCGUAGGCGGUUUGUUAAGUCAGGUGUGAAAGUUUUCAGCUUAACUGGAAAAGUGCACUUGAAACUAACUUACUUGAGUACUGGAGAGGUAAGCGGAAUUCCUAGUGUAGCGGUGAAAUGCGUAGAUAUUAGGAAGAACACCGGUGGCGAAGGCGGCUUACUGGACAGAGACUGACGCUGAGGCGCGAAAGCGUGGGGAGCGAACAGGAUUAGAUACCCUGGUAGUCCACGCCGUAAACGAUGAGUAUUAGGUGUUGCCGAGAGGCAGUGCCGCAGUUAACACAAUAAAUACUCCGCCUGGGGAGUACGGUCGCAAGACUG